GAUGAACGCUGGCGGCGUGCUUAACACAUGCAAGUCGAACGGUGACACAGUGAUAGCUUGACUUUACGGGUGCCGACGGGUGGGCGGGGUGGGAGAACAGUGGAACCCACUUUUGCAUCGGGGCUAACGUAGGGGAAUAUCCCCUAAUACCCGUUACGACCUCCCGGUGACACAAUGGGAAGAUUUGUCAUUGCUGGUAAGACUAAGGCGAUAUCGGAUUGGCUCGUUGGCGGGGGAAAAGCCCACCAAGGCGAGGAUCCGUAGCUGGUCUGAGGGGAUGGUCGGCCACACUGGAACUGAGACACGGUCCAGACUCCUAAGGGAGGAAGCAGUGGGGAAUAUUGGGCAAUGGGCGAAAGCCUGAUACAGCAAUACCGCGUGGGUGAAGAAGGCGUUCGGGUUGUAAAGCCCUUUUGUUGGGAAAGAAAAGCAGCAGGUUAAUAAGACGCUGAACUGACGGUACCCAAAGAAAAAGCACCGGCUAACUACGUG
rnacentral:rRNA from 1 species